rnacentral:tRNA from 1 species
GGAGAGGUGGCCGAGUUGGCUGAAGGCGCUCGCCUGCUAAGCGAGUAACGGGUUAACCCCCGUUCGAGGGUUCAAAUCCCUCCCUCUCCG